rnacentral:tRNA from 1 species
GAGCGUCUUGUCGGGCGCGGUCGGGCCGAGGCCGUCGUCGAGGUCGGCGAGGACCGCGAGCGCCUGCGCGUGCGUCGCCGCCUCGGGUGGCGGCAGGUGCCCG